rnacentral:sRNA from 1 species
CACAGAUCAGGAUUCCAGCUUACCGAUACCGUCUCUGCCCAUCUUCUUUCCAAUAUCACCGAUGGUGACGCCCGGCAGCAACUGGAAAGUCCUACACACUCUCAUCAGCGUCAACCUACCAUCAUUGGAGAAACCAACUUACUUGGUAUCUCUCAGCUGAGUGACAAAAGUCUUCACGCCAUACUUCUUUCCAUCAACGAUCAUCUGCGCAAACACAGCAGCAUGUGUGGCCGUACUAGCUGCGCCACCGAUCCACCACUUGGUCGCUCCAAGAUGAGGAGUGUGGAUGAUGAAUUCAUCGGUCUCGCGGUCAAAUGUGGCGGAGGUUUCGAGACCGGCGACGUUGGAGCCAUGUGCGAGCUCGGUCAUGGCAAAACAGCCGAUGACACCGUUGAGCCCUAACACGCCGCGGUCAAUCCAGUAGCCUAGCGAAUCAAGGAAGUCAGCAGGUUCUGAAAGAAGUGAUGGCGACGAGAGACGCACUAAGCUGGUUGGGCGUAGCACCGCUUCGAAGAGCGCCCAAGAAAAGGCCAUACGCAACACCAAAUCUAGUCCAAAAUGAGGGGUCCGCAAUCCCUAUCAGCUAUAAGUAAUGUCAGCCAUCAUAAUUGCAAAACGAAAUCCGCCUAGCACCGUUACAACACUAGCCCGAAGGACCUACCUGCAUUCUUAGAGUGAAGACUUCAAGACUCUCGUUAGUCACAAAGUAUACCAUGGAUGCGAAUUUCUCCAUAGUACGCUCCCGGAGUUCAUCCUUGCUAAGAUCGUGGAUAUCGGAGAGCUUAAAGGCGGGAUGUCUUGCAAUCUUGGCGUAAGACACAUCAGCCCGUUGUUAUUGGCGGAAAGACGGAAAGAGCCACGUCUACUUACCUCAGCCAUGAAUUUUUCCUUCAAUACCAAGGCUUUUUCGGAUCCGUGCAUCUUGAUUGAAAGCUUCCGGACGUUGAAUGGAGGAUUGGCUCGCUCCUAUGUUAGGUUAGACGAUGGCAAGGACUAACGAGACGCGAAGAGAACAUACCAUGGCGAGUGUCUCGACCUGACCAGAAGACGUGUCAGUGACUCUCGAAAACAUAUUUUGGUAGCUCACAGUUGUAGGUUUUGGUCUCGGGAAUGCCAUCUUAUAAUGUAUAUGAUGUAUAUGAUGAUGAAA